UUGGCAGUCAGAGGCGAUGAAAGACGUGAUAGCCUGCGAAAAGCUCCGGGGAGGCGGCAAAUAUCCUUUGAUCCGGAGAUGUCUGAAUGGGGGAACCCACCUACUUUAAGGUAGGUAUUGCAACAUGAAUACAUAGUGUUGCAAGGCGAACGAGGGGAAGUGAAACAUCUCAGUACCCUUAGGAAAAGAAAUCAAUUGAGAUUCCCUCAGUAGCGGCGAGCGAACGGGGAUCAGCCCAUUAAGUUAUGUGUGUUUUAGUGGAACGCUCUGGGAAGUGCGAACGUAGAGGGUGAUAUUCCCGUACACGAAAGGGCACACAUAAUGAUGACGAGUAGGGCGAGGCACGUGAAACCUUGUCUGAAUAUGGGGGGACCAUCCUCCAAGGCUAAAUACUCCUGACUGACCGAUAGUGAACCAGUACCGUGAGGGAAAGGCGAAAAGAACCCCUGUGAGGGGAGUGAAAUAGAUCCUGAAACCGCAUGCAUACAAGCAGUGGGAGCACCUUCGUGGUGUGACUGCGUACCUUUUGUAUAAUGGGUCAGCGACUUAUAUUCAGUAGCAAGGUUAACCGUAUAGGGGAGCCGUAGAGAAAUCGAGUCUUAAUAGGGCGUUUAGUUGCUGGGUAUAGACCCGAAACCAGGCGAUCUAUCCAUGAGCAGGUUGAAGGUUGGGUAACACUAACUGGAGGACCGAACCCACUGUCGUUGAAAAGCCAGGGGAUGACUUGUGGAUAGGGGUGAAAGGCUAAUCAAGCCUGGUGAUAGCUGGUUCUCCCCGAAAGCUAUUUAGGUAGCGCCUCGGACGAAUACCAUAGGGGGUAGAGCACUGUUUCGGCUAGGGGGUCAUCCCGACUUACCAAACCGAUGCAAACUCCGAAUACCUAUGAGUACUAUCCGGGAGACAGACUGCGGGUGCUAACGUCCGUAGUCAAGAGGAAAACAAUCCAGACCGCCAGCUAAGGCCCCAAAAUCAUAGUUAAGUGGGAAACGAUGUGGGAAGGCAUAGACAGCUAGGAGGUUGGCUUANNNNNNNNNNNNNNNNNNNNNNNNNNNNNNNNNNNNNNNNNNNNNNNNNNNNNNNNGAAGCAGCCACCCUUUAAAGAAAGCGUAAUAGCUCACUAGUCGAGUCGGCCUGCGCGGAAGAUGUAACGGGGCUAAAACUAUGUGCCGAAGCUGCGGAUGUAUACUUUGUAUACGUGGUAGGGGAGCGUUCUGUAAGCCGAUGAAGGUGUGUUGAGAAGCNGAAGCAGCCACCCUUUAAAGAAAGCGUAAUAGCUCACUAGUCGAGUCGGCCUGCGCGGAAGAUGUAACGGGGCUAAAACUAUGUGCCGAAGCUGCGGAUUUGACAUUAGUCAAGUGGUAGGGGAGCGUUCUGUAAGCCGAUGAAGGUGUAUUGAGAAGUNAUGCUGGAGGUAUCAGAAGUGCGAAUGCUGACGUGAGUAACGACAAAACGGGUGAAAAACCCGUUCGCCGAAAGACCAAGGGUUCCAGUCCAACGUUAAUCGGGGCUGGGUGAGUCGACCCCUAAGGCGAGGCCGAAAGGCGUAGUCGAUGGGAAAAUGGUUAAUAUUCCAUUACUUCUGUGUAAUGCGAUGAGAGGACGGAGAAGGCUAAAUCAGCCUGGCGUUGGUUGUCCAGGUGAAAGGAUGUAGGCAUGUAUCUUAGGCAAAUCCGGGGUACUCUAUGCUGAGAUCUGAUAGCAAGCUGUACUUGUACAGCGAAGUGGUUGAUGCCAUGCUUCCAGGAAAAGUCUCUAAGCUUCAGUUACACAGGAAUCGUACCCGAAACCGACACAGGUGGUCAGGUCGAGUAGACCAAGGCGCUUGAGAGAACUCUGCUGAAGGAACUAGGCAAAAUGGUACCGUAACUUCGGGAGAAGGUACGCUGUUGUUGGUGAUGGAACUCGCUUCCUGAGCUGACGACAGCCGCAGAAACCAGGCCGCUGCAACUGUUUAUUAAAAACAUAGCACUCUGCAAACACGAAAGUGGACGUAUAGGGUGUGAUGCCUGCCCGGUGCUGGAAGGUUAAUUGAUGGGGUUAGCGUAAGCGAAGCUCUUGAUCGAAGCCCCAGUAAACGGCGGCCGUAACUAUAACGGUCCUAAGGUAGCGAAAUUCCUUGUCGGGUAAGUUCCGACCUGCACGAAUGGCAUAAUGAUGGCGGCGCUGUCUCCAGCAGAGGCUCAGUGAAAUCGAAAUCGCUGUGAAGAUGCAGUGUACCCGCGGCUAGACGGAAAGACCCCGUGAACCUUUACUGCAGCUUGACACUGAACUUUGACCUUACUUGUGUAGGAUAGGUGGGAGGCUUUGAAGCUGGAACGCUAGUUCCAGUGGAGCCGUCCUUGAAAUACCACCCUGGUAAUGUUGAGGUUCUAACUCUGUCCCGUGAUCCGGGACGAGGACCGUGUCUGGUGGGUAGUUUGACUGGGGCGGUCUCCUCCUAAAGAGUAACGGAGGAGUACGAAGGUGCGCUCAGCGUGGUCGGAAAUCACGCGUAGAGUAUAAAGGCAAAAGCGCGCUUAACUGCGAGACCCACAAGUCGAGCAGGUACGAAAGUAGGUCUUAGUGAUCCGGUGGUUCUGUAUGGAAGGGCCAUCGCUCAACGGAUAAAAGGUACUCUGGGGAUAACAGGCUGAUACCGCCCAAGAGUUCAUAUCGACGGCGGUGUUUGGCACCUCGAUGUCGGCUCAUCUCAUCCUGGGGCUGAAGCAGGUCCCAAGGGUAUGGCUGUUCGCCAUUUAAAGAGGUACGCGAGCUGGGUUUAGAACGUCGUGAGACAGUUCGGUCCCUAUCUACCGUGGGCGCUGGAAAUUUGAGAGGAUCUGCUCCUAGUACGAGAGGACCAGAGUGGACGAACCUCUGGUGUACCGGUUGUGACGCCAGUCGCAUCGCCGGGUAGCUAUGUUCGGAAGGGAUAACCGCUGAAAGCAUCUAAGCGGGAAGCCUACCUCAAGAUAAGAUUUCCCUAGGACUUUAUGUCCUCUAAAGAGCCGUUCGAGACUAGGACGUUGAUAGGUUGGAUGUGGAAGCAUAGUGAUAUGUGAAGCUGACCAAUACUAAUUGCUCGUGAGGCUUGACUAUACAACACCCAAGCAGUUG
rnacentral:rRNA from 1 species